AUAGGUAACAUCUGAAAAUAUCACUGCGCCAUUACCGGUUAAAAGUUCUUUUUCAGAAUAACCUCAGAGUGGCAAAUAAUGCUUAUUAGCGAACAAGAAGAAUUAUCCGAUAAAAAAUGCCGACAUAUUGUCGGCAUUCAAAUUU
rnacentral:sRNA from 1 species